UACGUAGGGUGCAAGCGUUGUCCGGAAUUAUUGGGCGUAAAGAGCUCGUAGGCGGUUUGUUGCGUCGGCUGUGAAAUCCCGAGGCUCAACCUCGGGUCUGCAGUCGAUACGAGCAAACUAGAGUGUUGCAGGGGAGACUGGAAUUCCUGGUGUAGCGGUGAAAUGCGCAGAUAUCAGGAGGAACACCGGUGGCGAAGGCGGGUCUCUGGGCCUGUCCGUGACGCUCAGGCGCGAAAGCUAGGGGAGCAAACAGG
rnacentral:rRNA from 1 species